GACGUAGGGCGCGAGCGUUGUCCGGAUUUAUUGGGCGUAAAGAGCUCGUAGGCGGCUUGUCGCGUCGUUCGUGAAAACCCGGGGCUCAACUCCGGGCUUGCGGGCGAUACGGGCAGGCUAGAGUUCGGUAGGGGAGACUGGAAUUCCUGGUGUAGCGGUGAAAUGCGCAGAUAUCAGGAGGAACACCGGUGGCGAAGGCGGAUCUCUGGGCCUUACCUGACGCUGAGGCGCGAAAGCUAGGGGAGCGAACAGG
rnacentral:rRNA from 1 species